UUUGUCAUUUUACUCUAGUAAAAAUGUGUUGAAUCAUUUUAAAAUAAGUUUAUUCAUUGAAAAAAUAGGAUUUUUAUAUCGACAAAUGUUAAUAUAAAAGGUAUUCGUGUGCUUUAUGAGUGAGUGUCAUAGCAUUAUUAUUAAUUAUUAUUGAGCUGAGACUAGUUACAGGUUAAUUCGAUGUAACAUUUGUCUUAGGAUUUAAAGAUUUACAUAAAAAUCGAAAUCUAUAAAUGCUAUGAUCUUUCACUUAAAAUACUUACAUAAAUUGUGUCACCUGUUUUUUAUUGUAAGAAUCAAGAUGAAAAUAUAAGUGACGUUUGGAAUUAAAUAUACUUUGUGAUCGGCAUUGCACACUAGAUGUGCCAGGCGUCGUACCAUUGAAUGCGUUACCAGCUCUCAUUCAUCAGUCUGUAUCAAAAAAGCCCUGUCAGAAUUGUCGCUCCACCCUUUUCCCGAUACGUUUCGAAGGAUGAAGGAUCCUUUCUACCUCGGUCCAAAGCGUUCAAAACAUUACAACCCUAACUAUGGGUUCGAGCCGUACUGGAUGGGUGGCAGCUGGGUGUUUGACAGGUUAGACAAAACUACCGCCAAACCCACGAACAGCAUCUGCGGUAAUCAGUGUCCUGAAAUGUAUAUAUUGUAAGUGUGGGUCUAUUAAAAUGUUUUACCCUAUAAGUAAUGGUUGUCAGAAGUAAUGAAGAUAAUUCGUUUGCAUGAAGAUUAUAGCAUGUUUGUUUGUAAAGGUUUGGGACGGUAUGCGCUAGAAAUGUACUAUAUGAAAGGAAACAAUUUAAAAACUACUGCGAUCUUCUUAACGAAGACUGCACGGGAAGGUCCAGUAAGUAUGAUACCAGAACUGUUCAUUCUUUAUGUUUGACAACUAUGUUUUGUACUUAUGACAAUUGACAUUUCAUAUCCUCUCCUCGUGAAUCAGAUUACAGGGAAGGGAUUAAAGUAGAAUUAUCUGUUAUACGACUAAAACUACUGUAAUAAAUACUAUACAUUUAGCCAAAUAUUUGCAGAAAAGCCUGAGGUAGGCAAAGAAAGCAUACCAACGGUGUAUAGAAUAAAUAAAAACCUAAUCAGUAACCUUUGGAAUUAACAAAUUCUGAUCAAGGAGAGUCAACAUUCUGUCUUAAUUGUCUCAUUAAUUGUCUCGGAAACGAUUGUAGAAUACAUAAUAUGGGAAUUAGAUAUACUUUUAGUCAUGUUCUUUUUUGUAUAGUACUCAUAAUAAAUAUACACCGAAAAAGGGAUACUUAAAAACAUGACAACUAACCCACAAACUUCUUGGAAGAACUAACUUCAUCGAAUUACACACCUUAUUAUUAUAAUUAGAACAGUAAAGUGUCUUUAUAAUAAAUUUAGAGUUUCAAUGUGAAAAGAAAUAAACAUCCUCGUCCAUACAUCCGUCGGACCUACAUCGUCCAUAUAUCGUCAGGACUUAUAUCAAAGAUUGUUUUACAAACAUUCGUAUAUCUUUAGAAUGGAUGAUCCUGUACCGAGGUGAGUGUCGAGAUCUUGCAACUUAUCCCACCGGACAUAUAAGCAUAUUAACUCGAGUCUACACGUAUGAGUCGAUGUUUUAUGCAAUUAAUUCGAUUAAAUACUAAUUUAUUAUACCACUAAGUCAUAUAUUUGAAGAGACAGAAGAUCGGGAAGAAUCAUUGCUGCAAGAUGCCUCACUAAUAAUAAAUAUUUAAUGUUUAACGUUAUUUAAAUUACAAAUACACAAUAUGCUUAGUCUAAGCUUUUCGUGGUCACUCAUACGAAGCUUUAACAGUUUUUGAUGAGAAAAGCCUAGGAUAUUUAGUACUAAGGUAUCUAUGUAAUAGAAUGAAGAAACUGGCAACACUUCGUAGAGUGAUGACACAAACUCAAUAACCAUAAGGAUAUAAUUCUGUUAAUGUAGCCAACUUAGUAAAAUAAAGUACGAAUCUUAUUUUCUAUAUACGAGUUUGUAUUAUAUUAUAUAUUUUUAAACAAU